CAUCGUGACAGGAUGGGGACAUCAGGAUGGGAUGGGGACAUCAGGAUGGGAUGGGGACGUCAUGAUGGUGACAUCGUGAUGGGAUGGGGACAUCGUGAUGGGAUGGGGACAUCGUGGUGGGGACAUCGUGGUGGUGACAUCAUGACAGGAUGGGGACAUCAGGAUGGGAUUAAUGGGGACAUCGUGAUGGGAUGGGGACAUCGUGGUGGGGACAUCGUGGUGGUGACAUCGUGGUGGGGACAACAUGGUGGUGACAUCGUGAUGAGAUGGGGACAUCAGGAUGGGAUGGAUGGGGACAUCGUGGUGGUGACAUCGUGAUGGGAUGAGGACGUCAUGGUGGUGACAUCGUGGUGGGAUGGGGACAUCAUGGUGGGAUGGGGACGUCGUGAUGGGGACG
rnacentral:lncRNA from 1 species